rnacentral:rRNA from 1 species
AAAUUGAAGAGUUUGAUCAUGGCUCAGAUUGAACGCUGGCGGCAGGCCUAACACAUGCAAGUCGAACGGUAACAGGAAGCAGCUUGCUGCUUUGCUGACGAGUGGCGGACGGGUGAGUAAUGUCUGGGAAACUGCCUGAUGGAGGGAGAUAACUACUGGAAACGGUGGCUAAUACCGCAUAACGUCGCAAGACCAAAGAGGGGGACCUUCGGGCCUCUUGCCAUCAGAUGUGCCCAGAUGGGAUUAGCUUGUUGGUGAGGUAACGGCUCACCAAGGCGACGAUCCCUAGCUGGUCUGAGAGGAUGACCAGCCACACUGGAACUGAGACACGGUCCAGACUCCUACGGGAGGCAGCAGUGGGGAAUAUUGCACAAUGGGCGCAAGCCUGAUGCAGCCAUGCCGCGUGUAUGAAGAAGGCCUUCGGGUUGUAAAGUACUUUCAGCGGGGAGGAAGGUGCUGUGGUUAAUAACCACAGCAAUUGACGUUAUCCGCAGAAGAAGCACCGGCUAACUCCGUGCCAGCAGCCGCGGUAAUACGGAGG